CGUAGAGUCUGAACCGUGUUCCUGCACUCAUCCUGAGAACUGGAGAUCAUGUUGUCAGUAACUCUGCUUGUCAUGUUGGGCUUUCUGUGUCAGGAGUCUUCUGCCAACAAGUUCCUGACUCAGACUGACUCAUCCAAGUCUGUUAGUGCUGGAGGGACUGUGACCAUCAGCGCUACAGGGAGCUCUAAUAUUGGUCGUCGUCUCAGUUGGUAUCUUCAGAAACCUGGACAGGCUCCUAAACCUCUUAUAUACUCAUCAUCAACUCUGUUCUCUGGAACUGAGCCUAGAUUCAGUGGUACUAGAUCUGGUGCUCAGUACACUUUAACCAUCAGUAACGUUAAGGAAGUUGAUGCAGGAGAUUACUAUUGUCUGGGCUACCAUGGUGAUGGCACGUUCACUUUUGGUGGAGGAACCAAACUCAUCGUUCACUCGGGCUCCAUGCUCAGGCCCUCCGUCUCUCUGCUGGCCCCCUCCUCCUCUGAGCAGCUCUCUGGGGGCUCGCUCACGCUGGCCUGCCUGCUGACCGGCUACUCUCCUCAGGGAGCCGUGGUGAGCUGGGAGGUGGACGGCACACAGGUGACAGAGGGGGUCCUGAGCAGCUCGGAGGAGGAGAAGAGCGGACGCUACAGCAGCAGCAGCAGCCUGAGCCUGAGCCAGGAGAGCUGGAUGUCAGGAGAGCUGUACUCCUGCAAGGUCCUCCAUCAUGCCCACAGCCAGACCCAGUCCCUCCACAGGAGCCAGUGUGGGGGCUAGAGGGGCCGCUGGAGCCCAGGAGAACACAUGCUGCUCUGAUCAUCAGGAGCUUUAAUGUUUGUAGAGGAAAGUGAAGCUUUGUGUGGCCGAGAACAACACUGCUGUAAAGUGUUGGACAGCAGCAACUUAGAGAGUGAUGUGUGAAGCUCAGCAGAGAUGAGAGUGUGCUUAGUAACUGUCUUGUUGAUGAUUCAGGAUGUUCCUAAUAAAGCUUUCUCUGAUAAAUAACAUGA